CCCCUCUCAGGAUCACACCUGGAGAGGGUCCAGUCCUCUACCAGUCUUGGCUAUGGGAGGGAGAGUCAAGCAGGGGCCUGUCCAUUCCAUUCCUAGCUUGGGCAGUGGCUAGCGAGUGGAAGGCAAACUGACGGCAAGA